CUUGAUUCCAGACACGCAAAAGACCAUUGCCAUUGUCGCAUAAAGGACAACUAUAAAAAAAGUCACUUCCUCUCGGAACUGUCAAAAAAAUUCACUCUCUAUGGAGCUGUCAAACUCUAUGGCGUUUCCACCCCGUGGUCAAACGUGUACCUACCUUGGUCACAGGGUGCGCGGCGCGUUCGAUUUUAUAAUUAUUUUAUUGAUUUCUUAUUAGAAAAGUAGUGAUAAUUGAUAUAAAACGAUCCGAUAUAACUUUCCGAUCGAUUCGGGGUGUGAUUUUAUUUACGCAACGUGAUUUGAAUUACUUGUGACCGUGAUAUUGAACUCUGCUUUAUAACCUUGAAUAUUGUGAUGACCAUUGCUCAGAUAUAAGUUUUUUUUUGUUUUAUACUUGUUUGUGCGUAAGACAGUAAAAUUGCGACCAGUUUUUGCACUCGAACCAUGCUAUAAAGUCCACAAUCGCACUAAGAUGUUCAAUACAACGUUAAAACAA